rnacentral:rRNA from 1 species
AAAUUGAAGAGUUUGAUCAUGGCUCAGAUUGAACGCUGGCGGCAGGCCUAACACAUGCAAGUCGAACGGUAGCACAGAGAGCUUGCUCUCGGGUGACGAGUGGCGGACGGGUGAGUAAUGUCUGGGAAACUGCCUGAUGGAGGGGGAUAACUACUGGAAACGGUGGCUAAUACCGCAUAACGUCGCAAGACCA